rnacentral:pre_miRNA from 1 species
UCUCUUGUGUUAAGGUGCAUCUAGUGCAGUUAGUGAAGCAGCUCAGAAUCUACUGCCCUAAAUGCCCCUUCUGGCACAGGCU